GGGAAAGCUAGAAGAGGAGCAGAGGGAGAUACAGAGAGCAGACAGAUGAACAAACAGGGACUGGGCAGAGCAGAGAAAGGAACUGAUAGAACCAGACACACAUAGCACGUUAUAGGCUAUUUAGAUGGUUAAGUUAGAGUAGCUGGAGACUGCCCAAGCAGAAGGCCUAAGCUUUAGACUUGACUAGAAGCUCUGUGUCAUUAUUUCUAUGACUGGCAGGUCAGAGAAAGUCCCGCUAUAGACUUCCUGUUUGUCCAGAUGACUAUACAAUCAAUGCCUCAGGACUCGCCUUCCUCUGGUCUAUGCCUAAACAAAAUCUACCUCUUCUUAAAGUAUGGUUUGUGUAGGCCCAAUCUAAACAGACAGCAGGAAGACUCAAUGAGAACCUCCCGAGUGGACCACUUUGGUCAUCAACAAGCAACAAAAGACACCCUAAAGCUAACAAGACAAGCACAAACCCUUGGGACAACUGAGCUGGACUCUUAGAGACAUUCACAGGAGGAAAGCCUGGAAAGUGGACAAACCCUCGGGACAACUGAGCUGGACUCUUAGAGACAUUCACAGGAGGCAAAUCAAGAGAACAAGAGGGUACACCACAACAUGUGCUGCAGAGAUAGAAGAGUGGGCUCAUGACAGACUCAGAGGAAAGUGUUUGAAGAUCUCGUUCUACACUAAUAUCUCGGUCUUCCAUUAUGCUGAUUCAUAAUUAUAUAUGUGAAGUAGAAACUUGAAGACUAAGUUUACACAUUGCCUCUUGCUGAAGAUUAAAGUCCACGACAGACCAGCGAGCUCUACCUGGGACUUCCUUGCUGGCUCUCCUCCUCUCUACCACCUGUUUAUUCUGCCAAGACUCCGAAUGAACGGUGAAUACGAAAUCUAACAUUUUCAAGGAAUUUCUCUGUCACCCUUGAAUGGAAAAGUCUUAAGGAACCAGGACACUAAUACAACUUAGGACAGCAGCCAAGGAAAACAAGGCUCAAAAGGAAAUUAGAGAAAAUGCAUUCUUUUCCUUCAGGAGAAGAAGGAGCGGAAGACAGUCACAUAUUCCUGACUAACCUUACACUCACUGUAUAGCUGAGGAUGGCCUUGAACCUCUGACCCAAGGGCUCCAGCUCCUGAGAGCUAGGAUUACAGGCCCUGGGUCCUGGCAGCUGGAACAUUACAAGCAAUGCAUGCAGAUCCUGGCAGAGCACAGGAGCGAGUUUCCUGAAAGCACGCCUGCUCCCUGCAAACAAUUGAGCAGACAGAAGAAUUCCACAAAUAGCACAGCAGAAGUCAGAUGACUGAAUAUAUUAUCAGCCUUCUUUUGGGUCUGUCUACGGUAUCUCAGCAGAGUCAGCCGCUCUACAAGGAGUGCACAACAUUCAUCAAAAGACAUACACAACCUGUGCCCACAGUUCAACAGACAAUAUUCAAUCUAUUUUGAAGAAAUAAGAAACCACAUAUGUAUGUCAACAUAUGUCUUUUCCAAGCUUAUAUCCCUGAAAGUGUUCCCUGGGUACAUUUUCUACUGAUUCCCCAAAAAAAAAGUUUUUGGUACAGAGAACAGACAACAAAAAUAUGCUUUCACAGAAUAAAUGGAUUGAUGUCGUCUUAAGAAAGGCCUACACAAGAGCCUAACGGCCAGCCAAUAGGGACCCCAGCUAAGCAGGCCAGAGGCAAGGGCUGCUUGGGUUCUAAUGUGCUUCAGUAGCCCAACUGUGUGACCCUGGAAGUUAUCUGAUAUCUGUGUGUCCAUUUCCUUCCUGAGCAGCCAGAGGAGGAUGCUACAAGUGCUUCACACACCUAAGUGAGAAGCCCAAGUACACAACAAAUGUCCCUAACCCCAGACACAUUGAGUAAACGCCAUCAGUUUACUUCACUGCUUUCCUGCUUUUGACAUUUAAAGGCAAGGAGAUCUUGAAAUUUCAAGAAUGGUUGAGGUAUGGGCUGUAUAUAUGACUUACAGGAGUUAGCUUCUCUGUCCACAGCUGGGAACAUCUGCAGAACCUCUGCUAUUCAGAUCUGUUCCUUCUUAGAUUUCAGUCUAAGAGCUGAGUGUCCUAAGGACAUUUGCUAUAUCCUAGACUCUUGAUGAGCAGCCAUCCCAGACUACCCCUUAACCUCCAACCUCCUGGACCAUGGGAUAACAAUGUGUAUUUAUGUGUUUGUGGCCAUAAUCAAGAGAAUGGGACACAUAAGAAAAUCUAGAAAGUAGCUGCCACUAUCCCUGAUACAGACACUAUGGUCCUGACGGGAAUAAGCUCCAUCCAGAAGAUCCAUAGCCUGAGCAGAACACAAGGCUGCACACAGAGCUAAAGCCAGGUACAGAGGCCAGGGAAGGAAGGCCACACAAAGCAAUGGCCAUGGAAGAGCGGGUGGGACAGAGAUGGUGGGGUUCCACCUGCCAGCCCACUCUGUCACAUCCUACCAGCUGCACAGGACUACUCUGACCAUGUAGUCAUGUACCGUAUGAUACAGGGCUCAAAGUGCAGCACCUAAGCUUCAAACCAAAUAAAGCCGAACGAAGUCCUAA